CUUUCUGGGGUGCGAUUGACGCUGAGGCUCGAAAGUGCGGGUAUCGAACAGGAUUAGAUACCCUGGUAGUCCGCACAGUAAACGAUGGACGCUCGUCAUCGGCGACAGACAGUCGGUGACUUAGGGAAACCGUUAAGCGUCCCACCUGGGGAGUACGCCGGCAACGGUGAAACUCAAAGGAAUUGACGGGGGCCCGCACAAGCGGAGGAACAUGUGGUUUAAUUCGAUGAUACGCGAGGAACCUUACCCGGGCUUGAACUGCACAGGAAUGCGGGAGAGAUCCCGCCGCCCCUCGGGGCCUGUGCGGAGGUGCUGCAUGGUUGUCGUCAGCUCGUGCCGUGAGGUGUCGGCUUAAGUGCCAUAACGAGCGCAACCCCUGCCGUCAGUUGCCAUCACGUAAUGGUGGGCACUCUGUCGGGACUGCCAUCGCAAGAUGUGAGGAGGGUGGGGAUGACGUCAAAUCAGCACGGCCCUUACGUCCGGGGCUACACACGUGUUACAAUGGGGGGCACAGCGUGUUGCCGGCAGGCGACUGCCGGCGGAUCAUGAAAUCCCCUCUCAGUUCGGAUCGGAGUCUGCAACCCGACUCCGUGAAGCUGG
rnacentral:rRNA from 1 species